rnacentral:rRNA from 1 species
GUCUGAUGGAGCAACGCCGCGUGAGCGAUGAAGGCCUUCGGGUCGUAAAGCUCUGUUGUUAGGGAAGAACAAGUACCGGAGUAACUGCCGGUACCUUGACGGUACCUAACCAGAAAGCCACGGCUAACUACGUGCCAGCAGCCGCGGUAAUACGUAGGUGGCAAGCGUUGUCCGGAAUUAUUGGGCGUAAAGCGCGCGCAGGCGGUUUCUUAAGUCUGAUGUGAAAGCCCACGGCUCAACCGUGGAGGGUCAUUGGAAACUGGGAAACUUGAGUGCAGAAGAGGAAAGUGGAAUUCCACGUGUAGCGGUGAAAUGCGUAGAGAUGUGGAGGAACACCAGUGGCGAAGGCGACUUUCUGGUCUGUAACUGACGCUGAGGCGCGAAAGCGUGGGGAGCAAACAGGAUUAGAUACCCUGGUAGUCCACGCCGUAAACGAUGAGUGCUAAGUGUUAGGGGGUUUCCGCCCCUUAGUGCUGCAGCUAACGCAUUAAGCACUCCGCCUGGGGAGUACGGCCGCAGGAU